rnacentral:rRNA from 1 species
UGGGGGAUAUCGCACAAUGGGCGAAAGCCUGAUGCAGCGACGCCGCGUGGGGGAUGAAGGCCUUCGGGUUGUAAACUUCUUUUGCUCUGAACAAGGCGCACCAUGGGGUGUGUUGAGUGUAGGGGUUGAUUAGCGCCGGCUAACUACGUGCCAGCAGCCGCGGUAAUACGUAGGGCGCGAGCGUUGUACGGAAUUAUUGGGCGUAAAGGGCUUGUAGGUGGCUGGUUGCGUCUGUCGUGAAAGCUCAUGGCUUAACUGUGGGUUUGCGGUGGGUACGGGCUGGCUUGAGUGCAGUAGGGGGGGCUGGAAUUCCUGGUGUGGCGAUGGAAUGCGCAGAUAUCAGGAGGAAUGCCGGUGGCGAAGGCAGGUCUCUGGGCUGUUACUGACACUGAGGGGCGAAAGCAUGGGGAGCGAACAGG